CGAAAGCAGUGGGGAAGUGAUGCUGGACCUAUCACAGCAUUGCUAACAGACAGCCUAUUACAGUAUUUAAUAAAAACAGAAACAGCAUGCCUAUCAUAGGCUAAUAAAUCCUACCUCCUGCACGCUUUAAAAACAGUAUGAAGCAGCUUCAACGGAGCUUCCGACAACUAAUUUUAAGCAUGGCUGUCUAGCGUGCCUGUCACUCCUAUUGUCCUUCCAAACUCUUUCAGACAUUUUGAGCAAGGAGUAUUAAAGCUAUGAGUUAGCAAGGGUUGUGACAUUAAUGGUCUACAAAGGCUUUAGGCACGAGAGGUAAUGAUGAUUACGGUGGCUAUUUGGAAGACUGCACUGGAUCGCUGUCAUUAAAAAUUAAGCGUGGCUUUUGAGGAAGAUGUGACAACUACCGG
rnacentral:lncRNA from 1 species